rnacentral:rRNA from 1 species
GACGAACGCUGGCGGCGUGCUUAACACAUGCAAGUCGAACGGAAAGGCCCUGCUUUUGUGGGAUGCUCGAGUGGCGAACGGGUGAGUAACACGUGAGUAACCUGCCCUUGACUUUGGGAUAACUUCAGGAAACUGGGGCUAAUACCGGAUAGGAGCUCCUGCUGCAUGAUGGGGGUUGGAAAGUUUCGGCGGUUGGGGAUGGACUCGCGGCUUAUCAGCUUGUUGGUGGGGUAGUGGCUUACCAAGGCUUUGACGGGUAGCCGGCCUGAGAGGGUGACCGGCCACAUUGGGACUGAGAUACGGCCCAGACUCCUACGGGAGGCAGCAGUGGGGAAUAUUGCACAAUGGGCGGAAGCCUGAUGCAGCAACGCCGCGUGCGGGAUGACGGCCUUCGGGUUGUAAACCGCUUUCGCCUGUGACGAAGCGUGAGUGACGGUAAUGGGUAAAGAAGCACCGGCUAACUACGUG